AACUAUCCGUUGAUAAGGAAAGUAAUCGUAGAUACUUUAAAGAGAGACUCUGGUUGGUGGAAAGAGUUAAGUCUGAAACGUUGAAAAAUGGCCUUGGAGGAUUGAUUGUCGAUAAGUAGGCAAUCACGGAAUCUGCUCUACCGUUAAAAGGAGCACCAAUCACUUGAUGGAAUUUUCUUGAUAGACGUUGGGUUGAGGGAAGGGAAACCUUCUGAACAAAAGGUGGUAACACGAGUGAUCGUCCUUUUA
rnacentral:ncRNA from 1 species